AGUGCUCCUGCCCUGGGAGGAGGCUCAGCCAGAGAGGACAGCAGAGCUGAGUGGCCUGAGCAGCCUGCUUGGGAACAGGUUGGGAAACCCGGUUCUUUGCCACACAGGGAGGACAGAGCAGGCAGCAGAGACCAUGGAGCCCCCCUCAGCCUCUCCCCACAGAGGACAUGUCCCCUGGCAGGGGCUUCUGCUGGCAGUUCUGGUCUCACCUUUAACCUUCUGGAACCUGCCCACCACUGCCCAACUUGCUAUUGAAUCUGUGCCCUUCACUGCUGCCGAAGGGACCGAUGUUCUUCUACUUGCCCACAAUGUGUCAGAGAACGUCAAAGGCUACACCUGGUACAAAGGGGAAAGGGGCAUUGACAGCCAUCAAAUCUCGAUAUACCUAACAGCCACUCAAGGAAUUAUCCCAGGGCCUGCCUACAGUGGUCGAGAGACGGUAUACCCCAAUGGAUCUCUGCUGUUCCAGAAGGUCACCUUGGAGGACACAGGAUUCUACACUCUGCAAACCAUAAGUAGCGAUCUUCAGGCUGAAAAAGCAUCUGGACACAUCUGUGUAUAUCGUGAGUGACUCUCUAUGGAAGCAUCUGGACAGUUCUAUGCAUACUGCAAGAUCCACAAGGUCCUCACCUGCCCUCCACUGUUGAGAGCCAUCUGUGGACUAAAUCGGCAUGGAAGGCCACUGAGUAGGAAAAUCUGGUAUUUGGGAACUUCCAGGGGCAAUCCAGCUGUUACAUUGAAGAGAAGUGGUGAAACACAAGGGACGGCUUUGUCUUGUUCCUGGUCUUAGUGUCAAGACUCUCAGUAUUUCCCCACUGAGUAUUACGUGAGAUUUUCACAUGUGGCUUUUAUUACAUGAAGGUGAUUUCCAUCUCUUCCUAAGAGUGCCAGUCUUUUGUUCAAACCAUGACUAUUUCCCACUAAAGAGUUCCUUCAUCGUGACAUUCAAUCCACAGGCCAGGAAGUCAAAGUCCUUUUAGGUGGAGAAAUCCUUUAGAUUGGAACUUCUCCAACUCUGCCAUCAUGAGACUAUUCUGGGCCAUCUUUGUUCUCGAACAGAUUAUUUUAGAAAAAGUAAAUGCCAUUGUAUUUCAUGUAAAACUUUCCUGGCCCCAGAGAUGGAUAGGGCUGCCAAACCGGAUCUCCUCAAAAUACACCCCAAUUCAAAUAAGGAACAGGACCUGAGAAAAUCACAAAAAGGUCAAACAGGAGUUUAUAGGAAAAAAAUUCUACCUGAUGAUGAGGUUGCUGGGCACAUGGACUGAGAAGAGGGUCCUGGUGCAGAUUCUACAAAGAUGUUCAGGGGUCCGGACAUGAGUCACCCUGGUUGAUCUGGGAUCAGAAGGAGGGGCUGCCCUCUCCUUACAGAUAAUCACCUGAACAAAGACACUCAACCUCUGCAGAGGGUCAGGGCCACUGUCUGGCCAACCUUACACAGCUCACUGUGGGCACCAGAGCUGGCUGAGGUCUCUGAGCAAAGAGCCUGGCCCAGACCCCAGGGCGCAGGCCCACUAUCAGUGGGUCCUCUCCUCAGUUUACUCACAGAGUCUGUGACAAAGCCUUCCAUCCUGGCCAGCAAUGUCAGCAUCACAGAAGAGGGCCCUGUGGCCAUGACCUGCCUCUCAGGUGACACUGGAAUCUCCAUCACGUGGAUCUUCAGUAACCAGACUCUGCAGCUCACGGACAGGAUGCAGCUGUCCCGGACCACAGGACCCUCAGCAUAGACCCCGUCAGACAGGAGGAUGCCGGGGAGUAUCAGUGUGAGGUCUCCAACCCCGCCAGUUCCACCAAGAGUGACCCUCUUAAACUAGCUGAGUGACCUUUAUCCCCUGCUAUGAAUUAAAUCAGAAAUAAAAAUGUUCUCCUUAUAA